UUUUAGGUACAGAAAGUGCCACAGAAAACAAACUUCCAGUAAUUUAUUAUUGGUAAAGGUGAAAAGGUGAGGUAAGAGCUCACCGCUUUUUUGGUGACAAAAAUGGCAAGGUAAACCUUGUGAGCUGAAAGACCAAGUAAAUCGAGAAUUGAGGGCUGCUCGCCUAAUCUCGAAGGGUAGGUCGUUAGAUCCUAAUUGUGAAAUUAGGGCAAGAUAAAUGAUAGGCAGUUGAUUUGUUAUUCAGAUCAAUGUACAGGAUCCGGCUUAUGAUUUGCUCUUUUUU
rnacentral:RNase_P_RNA from 1 species